CAAGUGUGAGAAAGAUCAGCCAAUAAGUGCAGUCUGAACGGAAUUCAUUGUGAUCUUCAACGUUUAGCAGUUCCGUAACAGAACAGAAGCCUUGGGAAAUUAAAUAAAACUCUGUGCCCCGUAGGGUCCUUGGUAUAUGCUGUGAUAGUUCACCAACUUCUUAAGAAUAGGAGUCACAGCUAUUUUACUAAAAUAAUCCUUUCACUAAGUUUUGAUAGGGUUAUAUUUAUGAUUUAUUAGUUUUGAGGUGACAGUUGUCCUUUAAUAAGCGUUUACCAUUAUUCGAUCACUGUCAACAUUUCGGUUUGAGAUCUGAACUUUCUUCAGGGCAGCUAACUUGUCAGACACCAAGCUGUAGUGAA